CUUGCUGCUUUACAGUAGACUUGCCGCUUUCCUAGCAUCUAAAAGGACUUAUUCGGUAUCUUACUCUUAUUUUUUUUUGCGAGAACGGUAUCUUACUCUUAUGAUCAUAGGGUCCAAUCACUAAGGCGCAUGAUGCUCUGAGACAUAGCAAACCUAAAGAUUUAAGAGGUAAUUCAUUUAUUGAAGCGAUAGUUUGGUGUCCGGACCUGAAGGACAUUCUACAAACAUGCAUAUGUAAUUUUUUUCACCAAGAUGAUGUCUCUUAUCAAAUUCCAUGUUGGUGUUCUCUGGGGACAAUAGUAAUUCAUUUAUUGAAGCGAUAGUUUGGUGUCAGGACCUGAAGGACAUUCUACAAACAUGCAUAUGUAAUUUUUCCGCCAAGAUGAUGUCUCUUACCAAAUUCCAUGUUGGUGUUCUCCAGGGACAAUAUUGAGUCUAAACAUGGUGCAUUUCAGCAAGACAUUGCAUGGGUUGUGCCAUCC